rnacentral:rRNA from 1 species
UACGGAGGGGGCGAGCGUUAUUCGGAAUUAUUGGGCGUAAAGGGCGCGUAGGCGGCUGUACAAGUCAAAGGUGAAAUCCCUCGGCUCAACUGAGGAACUGCCUUUGAAACUGUAUGGCUUGAGGCCGGGAGGGGGUAGCGGAAUUCCCAAUGUAGCGGUGAAAUGCGUAGAUAUUGGGAGGAACACCAGUGGCGAAGGCGGCUACCUGGACCGGUUCUGACGCUGAGGCGCGAAAGCGUGGGUAGCAAACAGG